rnacentral:rRNA from 1 species
UACGUAGGGGGCGAGCGUUGUCCGGAUUUAUUGGGCGUAAAGAGCUCGUAGGCGGUUUGGUAAGUCGGGUGUGAAAUCUCCACGCUCAACGUGGAGGGGCCACUCGAUACUGCCAUGACUCGAGUCCGGUAGAGGAGUGUGGAAUUCCCGGUGUAGCGGUGAAAUGCGCAGAUAUCGGGAGGAACACCCGUAGCGAAGGCGGCACUCUGGGCCGGAACUGACGCUGAGGAGCGAAAAGCGUGGGGAGCAAACAGGG